GAGGAGGCCCUAGGCCUGGACCCCCUUGCACCACUUUGGGUCAGGAGAUACUGGGCCUGGACUGCCUUCCACUGCCGGGCGGGGAUGGGAGGCUCCAGGCGGCCGCGCUUUUUCCAGUCCGCGGUCCCCACCGGCCGGUUCCCCUCUUCCCCCCACUUCGAGGCCUGCAAUUGUCUGCUGUACUGGCUCCCAGUGCUGAAAGCUAUUAUGAGAAAUACCACUGCGAUGAGUCUUCACAUACAAGUGUCAGGUGCACCAUUUGACGGUCCCACCAGCAGCAUGAGAGAGUUCCAGUGUCUCCACAUCCUCGUCAACACUCACUACCUGACUUUUUGGGUCUAGCUCUCCAGGCCAGGAAGCCGAACCAAAUCCACCUCCCUCAGGUGUGCCCGCGGGACCUGUGUGUGUGCAAGUUUCUAUCUUCCAGAAGGUUCCAGUGUCUGCCAUGGCUCUUGGCCUGCCAGGAAGUAUCCUUCUUACUACUUGUGAGGCUGAGGCUUUGUGUGCCAGAGUACAGGUGCCCGGCCAGUAUGGGUCUGAGGGUUGUGUGGGCAUUGGUUCAGCACACAAGCCACAACCCUUGUUCCUUAAAGGUGGGCGUGUUGUGGAAGCACAGGAAAGUUAUUCUCAAAUAUGACACCCAUGUAAGGCCUGGGCUCCACUAUUAAUUUGUCUGAUUAUAUCCUGGUGACAAGGAGGACAAAUUUCUACUGCAACAAUGCAAAUUACUACGUUUUUAUUAAAAGUAAAUGUCAGUAAAACUAUUUUUCCUGAAUUCUGAAGUGAGAAAAACACCAUUUAAAGAACGUUUUAAUGUUUGUGAAAGGAUAGUCUCCUAAAGUAGAUUGUUGCAGAUACCGGGUAAAAAUAAAAAUUAAAUAAAUUAAAGGUGAGAUAGAUCAAAGAAGAAGGGUUUUGUCUUAUUCCUGCCAGAAACAGAAUAUCAGAAACAACAUGAGCAUCCUCCUCCUUGCCUUUUCUUGGGCUGUGCUUUCAGCCUGCAGAUAUAACCAUUCUGGAGAGCAGUGAUGCCCCCAGAACCGCAUUUUUGGCUGGUGCAAAAUGGGGGGCAGUGGUUGUGUCUGGGGCCAAGUUUCUGUCCUGUAUAGCCUAGAGAUGGUUAUGUAGCGGGGGACUGAGCUACUAAGUGAAGGCAUAGAUAGUUAUGUAGAAACAGAGGAGGGUAGAAUCAACUCCAUGCUAGAUUGUAACUGGAGGUACAGGUAUCAGUAUGAACUCAAGGUUUGCUAAGAGGUAUCAGAAAAGAUAUGGGUGUGUGUGUGUGUGUGUGUGUGUGUGUGUGUGUGUGUGUGUGUGUGUUUGUACAUACUUAUUUCCUAGCUCUGUCUGCUGAGUGUAAAUGGAAUCAUAUUCUGUAAUCUUUUGAGAUUUCUUUCUUCCAUUUAAAAUUAUGUGUUUGAGAUUUGGCCGUGUUGGUGGUGGAAUUCAUUCAUUUCUGUUGCUGUGUGCUAUUCCAUUGCGUGGAUACACCUCACUUUGUCCAUUUUACCGUCCUUUGAUAUUUAAGAUUUCUCCCAGUAUUUGCUAUUAAAAACAGCGUUAAAAUAAAAAAAAAAAAACACCAAAAA
rnacentral:lncRNA from 1 species